GUUUCGGAUCUCAGAUCAAGCAAGAGGACCC
rnacentral:rRNA from 1 species